UGCUACAUUACCAACUGGGUCUGUCUGACAUAAAUGCCUGCAAAAAACAGGCCUGAGGUGACGGGCAUCAGAAGAGCUGAUGAAGGUCUGUCCCGUGAGUAUGGUAUCUGCCUUUGUUAGCGUGGUGGCAGGCGAGGAGGCCAAGAUAAUGGCAGGAGUGCUUUCUUCAGUCUGAUAAAGAAACUUCAUCAACAAAACGUGUUGGAAAAGCUGAGACUCUGAUGCUAGAUCUUCUCAGAGAAGAAGGAGUAUGGAAGGCCUUAGAUCAAGCCCUUUAUGUUACAGGGUCCUUACACCUACUGUGCCUGUGUGGUGGAGGAAAUGUGGUCCAAAGUUGGGCUAUGGCACUUCUCU
rnacentral:lncRNA from 1 species